AUAACAUCAAUCACAUGAUGCAACAUGAUAAACAACAAGAAGUUUUGAGCGGAACGUUAAAUUAAACUGAUAUAUCUACAUAUAACAACAUAAGGGUCCUGUAACGUUCCUCGAACAACUGAAGAACAGAACAGAAUCAUUACUUGGAAGACUGAACCUGGUCGAAAGGCUCUCCCGUUCAAAAUAAAGAUUUGGACCACUCCAACCUUCUAGCCUCACAAAAAUUGUGGAGGCAAGCAAAAGCGUCAUUACAAGUAAAACUCCUCACUUGACGAAUAUUUUCGUUGUUCCAAGGUAUAAAAGAGUGGUAUUUAACUUCAUCUAGAACUCUAAGAAUAUUUAUUUGGCAAUCUAUAAUAGAUAUAUGAAAAUGAAUACAGAGAGUACCUAAUUUAUUGAAAUUUUGAAAACAAAUCAAGAAGUGGCGGAUUUUAUUCCCAGAAGAUAAGCCAGAUAUACAAAAGCAUUCAAGAGCUCAGCAGCCUACAAAUAAUUUAUAAUUGGCCUUUUACGUAGGUUACUCUAUAAAAUAUUUGGAACAAAAUAUUCAAGGAGAAUAUUUUACAAAAGGGUUAGCACAGAUGAUUUGAUGUAUAUUUAGAGAAGGGAAUAAUGACCAACCUGUAAUAAAAUACUGCUAUGAGGAUUGUGAAACUCUGGAUCCAUAUGGAUUGCAUCUGGUAGACCAUUGUUCCAGGCCUUUAUUUCUACAGAGUUUGUAUGGGUAAUAAGAGAUGGAAUGAAUAUUUUCUCAAAAUGUAAAUACAUAAUAUUAUGUAAUUUAGUUGUAUUAAAUAUUCUUGAAAAGA